rnacentral:rRNA from 1 species
UACGUAGGGGGCUAGCGUUGUCCGGAAUCAUUGGGCGUAAAGCGCGUGUAGGCGGUCCGGUAAGUCCGCUGUGAAAGUCGGGGGCUCAACCCUCGGAUGCCGGUGGAUACUGUCGGGCUUGAGUACGGAAGAGGCGAGUGGAAUUCCUGGUGUAGCGGUGAAAUGCGCAGAUAUCAGGAAGAACACCCGUGGCGAAGGCGGCUCUCUGGGACGGUACUGACGCUGAGACGCGAAAGCGUGAGGAGCGAACAGG